AUAGCGUAUAUUAAAGUUGUUGCAGUUAAAAAGCUCGUAGUUGAACUUCAGGCCUGGCUGGGCGGUCCGCCUCACGGCGUGUACUGUCUGGCUGGGUCUUACCUCUUGGUGAGCCGGCGUGCCCUUUAUUGGUGUGCGUCGGGGAACCAGGACUUUUACCUUGAGAAAAUUAGAGUGUUCAAAGCAGGCCUGUGCCUGAAUACAUUAGCAUGGAAUAAUAAAAUAGGACGUGCGGUUCUAUUUUGUUGGUUUCUAGAGUCGCCGUAAUGAUUAAUAGGGAUAGUUGGGGGCAUUGGUAUUGAGUCGCUAGAGGUGAAAUUCUUGGAUUGACUCAAGACCGACUAUUG
rnacentral:rRNA from 1 species